CUCGGGUUACCGAAUUCAGACAAACUCCGAAUGCCAAUUAAUUUAACUUGGGAGUCAGAACAUGGGUGAUAAGGUCCGUGUUCGAAAGGGAAACAGCCCAGACCACCAGCUAAGGUCCCAAAAUAUAUGUUAAGUGGAAAAGGAUGUGGCGUUGCCCAGACAACUAGGAUGUUGGCUUAGAAGCAGCCAUCAUUUAAAGAGUGCGUAAUAGCUCACUAGUCGAGUGACACUGCGCCGAAAAUGUACCGGGGCUAAACAUAUUACCGAAGCUGUGGAUUGUCCUUUGGACAAUGGUAGGAGAGCGUUCUAAGGGCGUUGAAGCAUGAUCGUAAGGACAUGUGGAGCGCUUAGAAGUGAGAAUGCCGGUGUGAGUAGCGAAAGACGGGUGAGAAUCCCGUCCACCGAUUGACUAAGGUUUCCAGAGGAAGGCUCGUCCGCUCUGGGUUAGUCGGGUCCUAAG
rnacentral:rRNA from 1 species